rnacentral:rRNA from 1 species
UGAGGAAUAUUGGACAAUGGGCGAGAGCCUGAUCCAGCCAUGCCGCGUGCAGGAAGACUGCCUUAUGGGUUGUAAACUGCUUUUGUACGGGAAGAAACACCUCCACGUGUGGGGGCUUGACGGUACUGUACGAAUAAGGAUCGGCUAACUCCGUG